rnacentral:rRNA from 1 species
GACGAACGCUGGCGGCGUGCUUAAUACAUGCAAGUCGAGCGAGGUUACUGUUUCGGAUCCCUUCGGGGGUGAAGAAGCUUUAACCUAGCGGCGGACGGGUGAGUAACGCGUGGGUAACCUACCCCAAAGUCCGGGAUAACAGCGGGAAACCGCUGCUAAUACCGGAUGCCUUUACCUUGGGGCAUCUUGAGGUAAAGAAAGGUAACGCUUUGGGAUGGGCCCGCGUCCCAUUAGCUAGUUGGUGAGGUAACGGCUCACCAAGGCGACGAUGGGUAGCCGGCCUGAGAGGGUGGACGGCCACACUGGGACUGAGACACGGCCCAGACUCCUACGGGAGGCAGCAGUAGGGAAUAUUGCGCAAUGGACGGAAGUCUGACGCAGCGACGCCGCGUGAGCGAUGAAGGUCUUCGGAUCGUAAAGCUCUGUCCUUGGGGAAGAAGGUCUUCGGACUUGGACGGUACCCAAGAAGAAAGCCCCGGCUAACUACGUGCCAGCAGCCGCGGUAAGGCUACGUAGA